GCCGGUCCUCGGUAGUGGCCCCCGGACGGCGCAUGGUCACUCCAUGCGGCACCACUCCGGGUGCUUCGAUCGAAGACCGGC
rfam:Streptomyces sp. 769, complete genome.